rnacentral:rRNA from 1 species
AUUGAACGCUGGCGGCAUGCCUUACACAUGCAAGUCGAACGGCAGCGGGCCUUCGGUGCCGGCGAGUGGCGAACGGGUGAGUAAUGCAUCGGAACGUGCCAUUGAGUGGGGGAUAACGUAGCGAAAGUUACGCUAAUACCGCAUAUUCUGUGAGCAGGAAAGCAGGGGACCGCAAGGCCUUGCGCUCUUUGAGCGGCCGAUGUCAGAUUAGCUAGUUGGUGAGGUAAAGGCUUACCAAGGCGACGAUCUGUAGCGGGUCUGAGAGGAUGAUCCGCCACACUGGAACUGAGACACGGUCCAGACUCCUACGGGAGGCAGCAGUGGGGAAUUUUGGACAAUGGGCGCAAGCCUGAUCCAGCCAUGCCGCGUGAGUGAAGAA